UCUCCGCUGGUGAACCAGCGGAGGGAUCAUUACCGAGUUUACAACUCCCAAACCCCUAUGUGAACGUUACCAAACUGUUGCCUCGGCGGGAAAUUCAUGCCCCGGGCGCGUCGCAGCCCCGGACCAAGGCGCCCGCCGGAGGACCAACCAAAACUCUUUUGUAUGUCCCUCGCGGACUUUUAUAAUUCUGAACCAUCUCGGCGCCCCUAGCGGGCGUUUCGAAAAUGAAUCAAAACUUUCAACAACGGAUCUCUUGGUUCUGGCAUCAAUGAAGAACGCAGC
rnacentral:misc_RNA from 1 species